rnacentral:rRNA from 1 species
GACGAACGCUGGCGGCGCGCCUAACACAUGCAAGUCGAACGAGCGAGAGAGAGCUUGCUUUCUCGAGCGAGUGGCGAACGGGUGAGUAACGCGUGAGGAACCUGCCUCAAAGAGGGGGACAACAGUUGGAAACGACUGCUAAUACCGCAUAAGCCCACGGGUCGGCAUCGACCAGAGGGAAAAGGAGCAAUCCGCUUUGAGAUGGCCUCGCGUCCGAUUAGCUAGUUGGUGAGGUAACGGCCCACCAAGGCGACGAUCGGUAGCCGGACUGAGAGGUUGAACGGCCACAUUGGGACUGAGACACGGCCCAGACUCCUACGGGAGGCAGCAGUGGGGAAUAUUGCACAAUGGGGGAAACCCUGAUGCAGCGACGCCGCGUGGAGGAAGAAGGUCUUCGGAUUGUAAACUCCUGUUGUUGAGGAAGAUAAUGACGGUACUCAACAAGGAAGUGACGGCUAACUACGUGCCAGCAGCCGCGGUAAAACGUAGGUCACAAGCGUUGUCCGGAAUUACUGGGUGUAAAGGGAGCGCAGGCGGGAAGACAAGUUGGAAGUGAAAUCUAUGGGCUCAACCCAUAAACUGCUUUCAAAACUGUUUUUCUUGAGUAGUGCAGAGGUAGGCGGAAUUCCCGGUGUAGCGGUGGAAUGCGUAGAUAUCGGGAGGAACACCAGUGGCGAAGGCGGCCUACUGGGCACCAACUGACGCUGAGGCUCGAAAGUGUGGGUAGCAAACAGGAUUAGAUUCCCUGGUAGUCCACACCGUAAACGAUGAUUACUAGGUGUUGGAGGAUUGACCCCUUCAGUGCCGCAGUUAACACAAUAAGUAAUCCACCUGGGGAGUACGACCGCAAGGUUGAAACUCAAAGGAAUUGACGGGGGCCCGCGCAAGCAGUGGAGUAUGUGGUUUAAUUCGACGCAACGCGAAGAACCUUACCAAGUCUUGACAUCCCUUGACGAACAUAGAAAUAUGUUUUCUCUUCGGAGCAAGGAGACAGGUGGUGCAUGGUUGUCGUCAGCUCGUGUCGUGAGAUGUUGGGUUAAGUCCCGCAACGAGCGCAACCCUUACUGUCAGUUACUACGCAAGAGGACUCUGGCAGGACUGCCGUUGACAAAACGGAGGAAGGUGGGGAUGACGUCAAAUCAUCAUGCCCUUUAUGACUUGGGCUACACACGUACUACAAUGGCGUUAAACAAAGAGAAGCAAGACCGCGAGGUGGAGCAAAACUCAGAAACAACGUCCCAGUUCGGACUGCAGGCUGCAACUCGCCUGCACGAAGUCGGAAUUGCUAGUAAUCGUGGAUCAGCAUGCCACGGUGAAUACGUUCCCGGGCCUU